GAUGAACGCUGGCGGCGUGCCUAAUACAUGCAAGUGGAGCGAACAGAUGAGGAGCUUGCUCCUCUGACGUUAGCGGCGGACGGGUGAGUAACACGUGGAUAACCUACCUAUAAGACUGGGAUAACUUCGGGAAACCGGAGCUAAUACCGGAUAAUAUAUUGAACCGCAUGGUUCAAUAGUGAAAGACGGUUUUGCUGUCACUUAUAGAUGGAUCCGCGCCGCAUUAGCUAGUUGGUAAGGUAACGGCUUACCAAGGCAACGAUGCGUAGCCGACCUGAGAGGGUGAUCGGCCACACUGGAACUGAGACACGGUCCAGACUCCUACGGGAGGCAGCAGUAGGGAAUCUUCCGCAAUGGGCGAAAGCCUGACGGAGCAACGCCGCGUGAGUGAUGAAGGUCUUCGGAUCGUAAAACUCUGUUAUUAGGGAAGAACAAAUGUGUAAGUAACUAUGCACGUCUUGACGGUACCUAAUCAGAAAGCCACGGCUAACUACGUG
rnacentral:rRNA from 1 species